rnacentral:rRNA from 1 species
UGGGGAAUAUUGGACAAUGGGGGCAACCCUGAUCCAGCGAUGCCGCGUGAGUGAAGAAGGUCUUAGGAUUGUAAAGCUCUUUUGACGGGGAAGAUGAUGACGGUACCCGUAGAAUAAGCACCGGCUAACUCUGUGCCAGCAGCCGCGGUAAUACAGAGGGUGCAAGCGUUGUUCGGAAUUACUGGGCGUAAAGGGCGUGUAGGCGGUUAGAUAAGUCAGAUGUUAAAGACCCGGGCUUAACCUGGGGGCUGCGUUUGAUACUGUUUGACUAGAGAGCAGGAGGGGAGAAUGGAAUUUCCGGUGUAGAGGUAAAAUUCGUAGAUAUCGGAAGGAACACCAGUGGCGAAGGCGAUUCUCUGGACUGCAACUGACGCUGAGGCGCGAAAGCGUGGGGAGCAAACAGG